rnacentral:piRNA from 1 species
UUACUUUGGUGAGACAGCGGACAAGGAA